rnacentral:rRNA from 1 species
GAAUCUUCCGCAAUGGACGAAAGUCUGACGGAGCAACGCCGCGUGAGUGAUGAAGGUUUUCGGAUCGUAAAACUCUGUUGUUAGGGAAGAAAAAGUAUCGGAGUAACUGCUGGUACCUUGACGGUCCCUAACAAGAAAGACACGGCUAACUACGUGCCAGCAGCCGCGGUAAUACGUAGGUGGCAAGAGGUGUCCGGAAUUAUUUGGCGUAAAGCGCGCGCAGGCGGUCUUUUAAGGCUGAUGUGAAAGCCCCCGGCUCCACCGGGGAGGGGCAUUGGAAACUGGGAGACUUGAGUGCAUAAGAGAAGAGUGGAAUUCCACGUGUAGCGGUGAAAUGCGUAGAGAUGUGGAGGAACACCAGUGGCGAAGGCGACUCUUUGGUCUGUAACUGACGCUGAGGCGCGAAAGCGUGGGGAGCAAACA